rnacentral:rRNA from 1 species
UACGAGGGGGCAAGCGUUGUUCGGAAUUAUUGGGCGUAAAGGGUGCGUAGGCGGUCUGACAAGUCUGAUGUGAAAUCUAUGGGCUCAACCCAUAGCCUGCAUCGGAAACUGUCGGGCUUGAGUAUGGGGAGAGGUGAGUGGAAUUUCCGGUGUAGCGGUGAAAUGCGUAGAUAUCGGAAGGAACACCUGUGGCGAAAGCGGCUCUCUGGGACGGUACUGACGCUGAGACGCGAAAGCGUGGGGAGCGAACAGG